rnacentral:rRNA from 1 species
CCUACGGGAGGCAGCAGUGAGGAAUAUUGGUCAAUGGGCGCGAGCCUGAACCAGCCAAGUCGCGUGAAGGAUGACUGCCCUACGGGUUGUAAACUUCUUUUAUAAAGGAAUAAAGUGAGGCACGUGUGCCUUUUUGCAUGUACUUUAUGAAUAAGGAUCGGCUAACUCCGUGCCAGCAGCCGCGGUAAUACGGAGGAUCCGAGCGUUAUCCGGAUUUAUUGGGUUUAAAGGGAGCGUAGAUGGGGAGUUAAGUCAGUUGUGAAAGUUGGCGGCUCAACCGUAGAAGUGCAAUUGAAACUGGAAGUGUGGAGGACGGGAGGGGUAGGCGGAAUUCGUGGUGGAGCGGUGAAAUGCGGAGAUAUCACGAGGAACGCCGAGUGCGAAGGCAGCGUACUAGACUGCGACUGACGUUGAGGCUCGAAAGUGUGGGGAGCGAACAGGAUUAGAUACCCGAGUAGUC